GAUGAAGAACGUAGCGAAAUGCGAUAAGUAAUGUGAAUUGCAGAAUUCAGUGAAUCAUCGAAUCUUUGAACGCACAUUGCGCCCGCCAGCAUUCUGGCGGGCAUGCCUGUUCGAGCGUCAUUUCAACCCUCGAGCCCCCCCGGGGGCCUCGGUGUUGGGGGACGGUACACCAGCCGCCCCCGAAAUGCAGUGGCGACCCCGCCGCAGCCUCCCCUGCGUAGUAGCACACACCUCGCACCGGAGCGCGGAGGCGGUCACGCCGUAAAACGCCCAACUUUCUUAGAGUUGACCUCGGAUCAGGUAGGAAUACCCGCUGAACUUAAGCAUAUCAAUAAGCGGAGGA
rnacentral:misc_RNA from 1 species